GGAACUGAAGACCCGCCAGACUUCUACGGAAGGCAGCAGUGGGGAUAUGCACAUGGCGAAGCUGAUGCAGCGACGCCGCGUGGGGGAUGAAGGCUUCCGGGUUGUAAACCCUUUCAGCAGGGAAGAAGCGAAAGUGACGGUACCUGCAGAAGAAGCGCCGGCUAACUACGUGCCAGCAGCCGCGGUAAUACGUAGGGCGCAAGCGUGUCCGGGAAUUAUUGGGCGUAAAGAGCUCGUAGGCGGUUUGUCGCGUCUGCUGUGAAAACCCGAGGCUCAACCUCGGGCCUGCAGUGGGUACGGGCAGACUAGAGUGCGGUAGGGGAGACCGGAAUUCCUGGUGUAGCGGUGGAAUGCGCAGAUAUCAGGAGGAACACCGAUGGCGAAGGCAGGUCUCUGGGCCGCAACUGACGCUGAGGAGCGAAAGCAUGGGUAGCGAACAGGAUUAGAUACCCUGGUAGUCCAUGCCGUAAACGUUGGGCACUAGGUGUGGGACUCAUUCCACGAGUUCCGUGCCGCAGCUAACGCAUUAAGUGCCCCGCCUGGGGAGUACGGCCGCAAGGCUAAAACUCAAAGGAAUUGACGGGGGCCCGCACAAGCGGCGGAGCAUGCGGAUUAAUUCGAUGCAACGCGAAGAACCUUACCAAGGCUUGACAUAUGCCGAAAACUCAUGGAGGCAUGGGGUCCGCAAGGGCGGUAUACAGGUGGUGCAUGGUUGUCGUCAGCUCGUGUCGUGAGAUGUUGGGUUAAGUCCCGCAACGAGCGCAACCCUCGUCCUAUGUUGCCAGCACGUUAUGGUGGGGACUCAUAGGAGACUGCCGGGGUCAACUCGGAGGAAGGUGGGGAUGACGUCAAAUCAUCAUGCCCCUUAUGUCUUGGGCUUCACGCAUGCUACAAUGGCCGGUACAAAGGGCUGCGAUACCGCGAGGUGGAGCGAAUCCCAAAAAGCCGGUCUCAGUUCGGAUUGGGGUCUGCAACUCGACCCCAUGAAGUCGGAGUCGCUAGUAAUCGCAGAUCAGCAACGCUGCGGUGAAUACGUUCCCGGGCCUUGUACACACCGCCCGUCAAGUCACGAAAGUCGGUAACACCCGAAGCCGGUGGCCCAACCCUUGUGGAGGGAGCCGUCGAGGGUGGGACCAGCGAUUGGGACUAAGUCGUAACAAGGUAGCCGU
rnacentral:rRNA from 1 species